rnacentral:rRNA from 1 species
CUUGCUUCUCUUGAGAGCGGCGGACGGGUGAGUAAUGCCUAGGAAUCUGCCUGGUAGUGGGGGAUAACGUCCGGAAACGGACGCUAAUACCGCAUACGUCCUACGGGAGAAAGCAGGGGACCUUCGGGCCUUGCGCUAUCAGAUGAGCCUAGGUCGGAUUAGCUAGUUGGUGGGGUAAUGGCUCACCAAGGCGACGAUCCGUAACUGGUCUGAGAGGAUGAUCAGUCACACUGGAACUGAGACACGGUCCAGACUCCUACGGGAGGCAGCAGUGGGGAAUAUUGGACAAUGGGCGAAAGCCUGAUCCAGCCAUGCCGCGUGUGUGAAGAAGGUCUUCGGAUUGUAAAGCACUUUAAGUUGGGAGGAAGGGCAGUAAAUUAAUACUUUGCUGUUUUGACGUUACCGACAGAAUAAGCACCGGCUAACUCUGUGCCAGCAGCCGCGGUAAUACAGAGGGUGCAAGCGUUAAUCGGAAUUACUGGGCGUAAAGCGCGCGUAGGUGGUUCGUUAAGUUGGAUGUGAAAUCCCCGGGCUCAACCUGGGAACUGCAUUCAAAACUGACGAGCUAGAGUAUGGUAGAGGGUGGUGGAAUUUCCUGUGUAGCGGUGAAAUGCGUAGAUAUAGGAAGGAACACCAGUGGCGAAAGCGACCACCUGGACUGAUACUGACACUGAGGUGCGAAAGCGUGGGGAGC